ensembl:lncRNA
CCAGUCCUAUAGUGAGUUGACUCACCAUGGCUAUAGUGAGUUGUCCUACAGUGAGUUGUCUCUCCAGUCCUAUAGUGAGUUGACUCACCAUGGCUAUAGUGAGUUGUCCUACAGUGAGUUGUCUCACCAGUCCUAUAGUGAGUUGUCCUAUAGUGUGUUGCCUCACCAGUCCUACAGUGAGUUGUGUUGUCUCACCAGUCCUACAGUGAGUUGUGUUGUCUCACCAGUCCUAUAGUGAGUUGUGUUGUCUCACUAGUCCUAUAGUGAGUUGUCCUACAGUGAGUGGUCUCACCAGACCUAUAGUGAGUUGUCUCUCCAGGCCUAUAGUUAUUUGUUUCACCUUGUCAAUAUAUAGUGAGUUGUCGCACCAGUCCUAUAGUGUGCAGUCUCACCAGACCUAUAGUGAGUUUUCUCUCCAGGCCUAUAGUUAUUUGUUUCACCAGGUCUAUCUAUAGUGGGUUGUCUCUCCAGGCCUAUAGCUAUUUGUUUCACCAGGUCUAUCUAGAGUGGGUUGUCUCUCCAGGCCUAUAGUUAUUUGUUUCACCAGGUCUAUCUAUAGUGGGUUGUCUCUCCAGGCCUAUAGUUAUUUAUUUCAGCAGGUCUAUCUAUAGUGGGUUGUCUCUCCAGGCCUAUAAUUAUUUGUUUCACCAGGUCUAUCUAUAGUGAGUUGUCUCUCCAGGGCUAUUGUCAUUUGUUUCACCAGGUCUAUCUAUAGUGAGUUGUCUCUCCAGGGCUAUUGUCAUUUGUUUCACCAGGUCUAUCUAUAGUGAGUUGUCUCACCGGUCCUGUAGUGUGCAGUCUCACCCGGCCUGUGCGUCUCCUCAGCGUAGGGUUGAAGCCGUGGACGAUAGUCUCUUAAAGGGUAAUAGUUUUGACUCUCCUGUAAUGCCAGAGAAAAAUAACAUGAGGUUUGUACGAACGAUGCGUCGCAUAACUAUUCACACAUUAUUAUAUACAGUUUCGCUAUGUAUAGUGUGAUAUUAUCUAUCGAUGCAUAUAUCUUCAACAGGAGGUUUAACCACUCGCAUUUACGAUCGUCAUUUCAAUCUGCACACUUGUGUUUAUAGCGGUGCCUGUAAAACCUUGAGUCACC